UACGUAGGGGGCAAGCGUUGUCCGGAAUCAUUGGGCGUAAAGCGCGUGUAGGCGGCCUUGUAAGUCCGUUCUGAAAGUCCGGGGCUCAACCCCGGGAGGCGGAUGGAUACUGCAAGGCUCGAGUCCGGAAGAGGCAAGUGGAAUUCCCGGUGUAGCGGUGAAAUGCGCAGAUAUCGGGAAGAACACCCGUGGCGAAGGCGGCUCUCUGGGACGGUACUGACGCGUGAGACGCGAAAGCGUGGGGAGCGAAC
rnacentral:rRNA from 1 species